rnacentral:tRNA from 1 species
UAAGAAGUAGUGUAGCGGGUGCACUUAGAGUUUUGAACUCUAUUGGAUAGGUUCAAGUCCUAUUUUCUUAGAGGAG